GGCCAGACUCCUACGGGAGGCAGCAGUCGGGAAUAUUGCGCAAUGGAGGAAACUCUGACGCAGUGACGCCGCGUAUAGGAAGAAGGUUUUCGGAUUGUAAACUAUUGUCGUGAGGGAAGAAAUUGACAGUACCUCAGGAGGAAGCUCCGGCUAACUAUGUGCCAGCAGCCGCGGUAAUACGUAGGGGGCAAGCGUUAUCCGGAUUUACUGGGUGUAAAGGGAGCGUAGACGGAAAGGCAAGUCAGAAGUGAAAACCCAAGGCUCAACCAUGGGACUGCUUUUGAAACUGUCAAACUAGAGUACGGGAGAGGUAAGAGGAAUUCCUAGUGUAGCGGUGAAAUGCGUAGAUAUUAGGAGGAACACCAGUGGCGAAGGCGUCUUACUGGACCGAAACUGACGUUGAGGCUCGAAAGCGUGGGGAGCAAACAGGAGUAGAUACCCUAGUAGU
rnacentral:rRNA from 1 species